GAACGCUAGCUACAGGCUUAACACAUGCAAGUCGAGGGGCAGCAUGGUCUUAGCUUGCUAAGGCCGAUGGCGACCGGCGCACGGGUGAGUAACACGUAUCCAACCUGCCGUCUACUCUUGGACAGCCUUCUGAAAGGAAGAUUAAUACAAGAUGGCAUCAUGAGUCCGCAUGUUCACAUGAUUAAAGGUAUUCCGGUAGACGAUGGGGAUGCGUUCCAUUAGAUAGUAGGCGGGGUAACGGCCCACCUAGUCUUCGAUGGAUAGGGGUUCUGAGAGGAAGGUCCCCCACAUUGGAACUGAGACACGGUCCAAACUCCUACGGGAGGCAGCAGUGAGGAAUAUUGGUCAAUGGGCGCAGGCCUGAACCAGCCAAGUAGCGUGAAGGAUGACUGCCCUAUGGGUUGUAAACUUCUUUUAUAAAGGAAUAAAGUCGGGUAUGGAUACCCGUUUGCAUGUACUUUAUGAAUAAGGAUCGGCUAACUCCGUGCCAGCAGCCGCGGUAAUACGGAGGAUCCGAGCGUUAUCCGGAUUUAUUGGGUUUAAAGGGAGCGUAGAUGGAUGUUUAAGUCAGUUGUGAAAGUUUGCAGCUCAACCGUAAAAUUGCAGUUGAUACUGGAUAUCUUGAGUGCAGUUGAGGCAGGCGGAAUUCGUGGUGUAGCGGUGAAAUGCUUAGAUAUCACGAAGAACUCCGAUUGCGAAGGCAGCCUGCUAAGCUGCAACUGACAUUGAGGCUCGAAAGUGUGGGUAUCAAACAGGAUUAGAUACCCUGGUAGUCCACACGGUAAACGAUGAAUACUCGCUGUUUGCGAUAUACAGCAAGCGGCCAAGCGAAAGCGUUAAGUAUUCCACCUGGGGAGUACGCCGGCAACGGUGAAACUCAAAGGAAUUGACGGGGGCCCGCACAAGCGGAGGAACAUGUGGUUUAAUUCGAUGAUACGCGAGGAACCUUACCCGGGCUUAAAUUGCAGAUGAAUUACGGUGAAAGCCGUAAGCCGCAAGGCAUCUGUGAAGGUGCUGCAUGGUUGUCGUCAGCUCGUGCCGUGAGGUGUCGGCUUAAGUGCCAUAACGAGCGCAACCCUUGUUGUCAGUUACUAACAGGUUCCGCUGAGGACUCUGACAAGACUGCCAUCGUAAGAUGUGAGGAAGGUGGGGAUGACGUCAAAUCAGCACGGCCCUUACGUCCGGGGCUACACACGUGUUACAAUGGGGGGUACAGAGGGCCGCUACCACGCGAGUGGAUGCCAAUCCCCAAAACCUCUCUCAGUUCGGACUGGAGUCUGCAACCCGACUCCACGAAGCUGGAUUCGCUAGUAAUCGCGCAUCAGCCACGGCGCGGUGAAUACGUUCCCGGGCCUUGUACACACCGCCCGUCAAGCCAUGGGAGCCGGGGGUACCUGAAGUGCGUAACCGCGAGGAGCGCCCUAGGGUAAAACUGGUGACUGG
rnacentral:rRNA from 1 species